rnacentral:rRNA from 1 species
UACGAAGGGGGCUAGCGUUGUUCGGAAUCACUGGGCGUAAAGCGCACGUAGGCGGAUUGUUAAGUCGGGGGUGAAAUCCUGAGGCUCAACCUCAGAACUGCCUUCGAUACUGGCAAUCUCGAGUCCGGAAGAGGUUGGUGGAACAGCUAGUGUAGAGGUGAAAUUCGUAGAUAUUAGCUAGAACACCAGUGGCGAAGGCGGCCAACUGGUCCGGUACUGACGCUGAGGUGCGAAAGCGUGGGGAUCAAACAGG